GGUUUCCCUGCUAUGUUUUGUCACACAUCAUUGCUGGGAGAGUUCGGUGCUAUCCAAGUGACUCCCCUGGGAGAGGGCAACUGGAAAUUUAUGCCUGGUGUCUUCCUGGACUCCAACCUAUGUACCUUUUUCCUUGGAUGAUUUUAACCUGUCUCCUUUUGCUGCAAUGAACCAUAACCAUGAGUAUAACAGCUUUUCUAAUUUUUGUGAGUCCCUCAAGUGAAUCAUCAAACCUAAGGUAGUUUUGGGACCCCCAUCACAGACAGUCAAACAGGAGCAGGGCAAGAAGAGCUGCUUUGCCUGGAAGGCUAAUGAGUCUGAACUUCACCCUGGAGGUAAUCGUUAUAGUAACUCCAGGCUCUAACCUGAAGCUGACAUGAUAAGGCCAAAUGUACACCUCUAGAAGACACUUCCGACUGCAGAGGGGAAUGGAUGGGGGAGCUGAGGGAGUAGAGCUGAAGUGGGAAGACCAUGGCCUGGAAAGAGAUGGCUGAACCAGUCCAGGAACCAUCCGAUUGCUCUUUUUUCUCUCCUUGAAGCCAUCCCCUUAGCCCUCUGCCCACAGUGAUCACUAACUGAUCGCUCCUCCUUAAAAGCCACCGAAAAGUGUGCUUGGCCGAUCUCCCUGACCUCAAUUUCUCUGCUGGCAGAAUCACAAGAAAGGCAUCAGCACCUUCUGUGAAAUGGGGAGCCAUGCAGAGGAGGUACCCAGGUGGCAAGGAGUCCAUGUCAGCUGCCGUCAUCCACACCA
rnacentral:antisense_RNA from 1 species